rnacentral:rRNA from 1 species
GACGAACGCUGGCGGCGUGCUUAACACAUGCAAGUCGAGCGGAAAGGCCCUUCGGGGUACUCGAGCGGCGAACGGGUGAGUAACACGUGAGUAACCUGCCCUCAGCUUUGGGAUAACCCUCGGAAACGGGGGCUAAUACCGGAUAUGACAUGAGCCUGCAUGGGUUUGUGUGGAAAGUUUUUCGGCUGGGGAGUGGGCUCGCGGCCUAUCAGCUUGUUGGGUGGGGUGAUGGCCUACCAAGGCGACGACGGGUAGCCGCCUGAGAGGGCGACCGGCCACACUGGGACUGAGACACGGCCCAGACUCCUACGGGAGGCAGCAGGUGGGGAAUAUUGCACAAUGGGCGGAAGCCUGAUGCAGCGACGCCGCGUGAGGGAUGACGGCCU